UACGGAGGGGGGCUAGCGUUGUUCGGAAUUACUGGGCGUAAAGCGCACGUAGGCGGCUUUGUAAGUUAGAGGUGAAAGCCCAGGGCUUAACCCUGGAAUUGCCUUUAAGACUGCAUCGCUAGAAUCGUGGAGAGGUGAGUGGAAUUCCGAGUGUAGAGGUGAAAUUCGUAGAUAUUCGGAAGAAACACCAGUGGCGAAGGCGACUCACUGGACACGUAUUGACGCUGAGGUGCGAAAGCGUGGGGAGCAAACAGG
rnacentral:rRNA from 1 species